rnacentral:misc_RNA from 1 species
ACCCUCCAUCAAUCAUCUCGGACAUAUUAGGCAAUGGAACUGCUUUUGCAAUGCUCUUUCCAUUAGUUUUGCUCAAUCUUGUAUCACCCUUGUCAUCAUUCAAGACUUUGCUAAGCUCAGAAUAUUGCNNNNNNNUCCCAAGAGAGAUUAUAUCUUUGCUCAGGUGUAAGAGGUUUAGGCUCAUUUGCUAAUGCUUCUUUCACUUUUGCAACAAAGUCCUCAGAUGUCUUGUAAGUCAAACAGUUUGGAAAGGACAUGAAGAACUCAUUUGAUGGGUGAUCAGCACAUACAACAAAUUUUCCCAUUGCAAGCGCCUCGGCAGUAGCUGUGCAGAGCACAUCACUCACACUAGG